ACUGCUGCCAGCUACAUUGCAGGUGUGGCUGCUGUUCACACAUAAGUCAAUAGGUGACACAGAGGAGAGAGGCUAUGUUUAUGCUCAAUGUUCUGACCUAAUAUUCUCUAAAAACAGCAAGCCUGAGACA